rnacentral:sRNA from 1 species
UAUUGGACUAUAUAAACUUGCUAAUUUG